rnacentral:lncRNA from 1 species
UCAAGCUAGAAAACUAUGUACUUAACUAACUUGAAGAAGGAAUCACUAAUUCCUAAAAGCUAAAGGAUACACCCGUAUCACAAAAAGUCUCAUCAAAAUCUAAACCUUCUAUUUGAGAAUACCCUUGCACGACAAGUCUUGCCUUGUUUCGGGUGAUAAUGCAUUUUUCAUCAGUUUUGUUUUUAAACACCCAUUUGGUUCCUAUGACAUUUUUGUCCUUAGGCCUAGGCACUAAAUGCCAAACAUUGCUUCUUUCAAACUGGUUCAACUCGUCUUGCAUGGCACUGAUCCAAUCAGCAUCAACCAAGGCUUCCUUCACAUUCUUUGUCUCUAUUAUAGAAACAAAGCCAUAGUAUGUGAUGGUGUUGAUGUCAUCUUUAUGCAUAGCAACAAAACAUUUAAACACUGAGAAAUUGCUCACCAAUCGACCAGUCUUACUCCUGGUCUUUCUCGGUUCAGACACAUCCCCAAUUACAUGGGAUAGAUCAUGGUCCUUUUGUACUUGUCUUUUGCCACUUUUGUAAAUUGGCUGAAUGGUAAGUGUAGCAUCCUUCCCAGAUCCUGAAACAUCUGUGUCAUCAUCCAUCCCUGAGUCAUCAUCUCCUUGAUCAGACUUGGUUUCAGAUGAGGUAGGUUCAGCUUCCUGUUCAGAUACCUGCUUAAACAAAACACACCCAUCAUUCUUGCAAACAAGAGCAUCAUUAACAAUCACAUUUACUGAUUCCAUAAUUUUGCAAGUUCUCUUGUUAUACACCCGAUAAGCUCGACUAUUUCCAGCAUAGCCAAGGAACACACCCUUGUCACUUUUAGCAUCAAACUUUGUCAAAUACUCUCUGUCCCUAUAAAUAAAGCAGGGACUUCCAAACACUUUGAGAUGAGAGACAUUUGGUUUCCUACCUCUCCAGAUCUCAUAAGGAGUCAUGGUUGUUCCAGGUCUAAGAAUUACACGGUUUAAAGUGUAACAAGCAUUAUUUACUGCUUCUGCCCAAAAAGAAUGAUCAAGACUAGAUGCAGCUAGCAUAACCCUAGAUAAUUCCAUAAGAACCCUAUUCUUUCUUUCUACAAUGCCAUUAUGCUGUGGAGUAAUAGGAGCAGAGAAUUCAUGAUGCACACCAAACUCUUCACAAUAAUUUUCAAAAUAAGAGUUUUCAAAUUCAGUACCAUGAUCUGAUCUGAUCCUAACAAUAUGCAUGUCAUCAUUCAAUUUCUCAUUUGCGACUCUCUUAGAAACACUGUAAUAAUUUUCAAAAGUUUCACCUUUGUUAAACAAAAAUCUCACCCAAGUGAAUCUAAAAAAAUCAUCAACAAUUACAAGAGCAUACUUUCUUCCUCUAAUACUUUUAGUUUCAACAGGUCCUACUAAGUUGAGAUGCAGCAGUUCAAGAACAUGAGUAGUAGGAUCAUUAUUUAAUAGAGGAUGAGAAGUUCGAGUCAUCUUACCAACUUUACAUUCACCACACAUACCUUGGGGGAUACCGGCAAGCUUUGGUAUCCCUCUGACAGCUUCUUUUGAGGACAGCUUCAGUAUAUCCUGAUGGUUCAAGUGACACAUUCGUUUGUGCCAAAGGUCUAAGGGUUCCUCACAGAUCAUAGAUCUAAAACACAGUUAGGGUGAGAACUUCUCUUUUGCUACAACACAAUAGCAUUGAUCUCUAGUUCUCUUUCCUCUCAUUACGCUCUUCCCCUUACCAUCUAAGACAACACAUCUCUGCUUAUCAAAGGUGACUGAGUCAUGUUCAUCAACAAUCUGACUUACACUUAACAAACUCACUUCUAAACUCUUGACCAAAAGAACGUUUUUCAGACAAGGGAGACCAGGGGCAUUUACUGUCCCGCUUCCCACUAUCGGAGCCCGAGCUCCAUCCCCAAAACCAACAUUCCCUUCUGGAUGACCGUCAUCCAUGGUCGAAAACCACUUGGGAUCUCCGGUCAUGUGCCUUGAAGCACCACUGUCUAUAUACCAAGAAUCAGCACAACGCACUGCGAGGGCUGUAAGAGCUACGCGACACACCGCUACUAUUCUAGACUCCUCAACAGACUCUAGACUAGUCCAGACACGAGACAAGAAACACACAAUGUUUUCCUCCUCAAGGUCACUGUCACACUCAUCAACAAGCUUCAAAUCCGUGUGUGGAGGUUUGAGGACAUAAGGUCUGGAAUCCUUCUUCUUAACCCAAGCUAAGUUCUUGUUUGGUUCUCUAGCUGCGGGAACAGACAGACCCUUAGCUAACCUUAGCAAACUCCUGCAGAGAUUUCUCUAGAGUGACUUGGAAAGAUGUGAAAAAAUUUACAACUGACUUGUUGCUCUAAAAGCUGGAAAACUCUUGGUUUCUUCUAGGGUAUGCCUGGCUGUUUUGGAGUUUCCUACAAAAAGGUCGAAUGUGACCAAGGACACCACAGUGAUGACAAGUAGGUUUGAAUCUUUUUGGGGACUCAACCUUGUUGGUCACUAAUUUAACAUCAGGAACUUUGCUUUUGACAAAUACAGUUCCACUACUUUUAGAGUUCUCGCCAGUUUCAAACCCUAGACCAUGUUUGUUCUUAUCUGGUCUACCUAUUCCACACAUCUUUGAGAGAAGCCUCAAGCGCCAGCUUAUUAGCCUUAAGACCACUAAGAGAGUUUUCUAGACUCAGCUUUUCAGCUCUCCACACUUUUUGCUGGGAUAGCAAUUCACACUUCGCAAGAUUUUUGGUCAGAAUAUCUAUCUUAGACAACAUGGACUUUGAUGCGUUGACAAGUUUAGUGAACUUUUGCAUUCCAUCAUCAUCAUCGUCUUCAUCCUCCGGAGUCUCGUUUUGAGAUACCGUGGCAAUGAAGGCAACUGGUUUUUCAACAUGAUCCAAAGAGGAAACGGGGACAACCCGAGCUGUGAAAGCUACAGUAUCCUCCUCUUGAUCAGACAAGGGAUCCUCUUCACUAUCAUUGUAAGUGACAACAAGAGCCUUUUGAAGGCAAACCCUUCUAUUUGCACAGUCAACAGCUCUAUGUCCCACACCCUUACACUCAAAACACACAUCGCUUCUUUGAGAAUUCUUACCCUUAGGAUUUCUAUCUUGACCUCUAUCCUGAGAGGGCUCAGCACGAGAGUUCCUAGGAUAUCUGUCAUGCCCUCUAUCUUGUGACGUCUCACCAAAUCUAGAUUUUCCGAAACCCCGGUUCGAGGAAAACGGUUUCCUCCUUUUCUUGAGAAAGUUUGCAAACUGUUUUGUAAGGAGGGCACACUCUUCUAGACUAUAUUCGACAUCCUCAGGAAUUUUAAUUUGUAAACUUGACUCAGUUUCCUUGACAGAGGAGAGGGCAAUGGAUUUCUCUUUCAUCAAUCUCUUCUUAUGGGCUUCAUAGGUUUUCAGGUUUCCUACUAGCUCUUCUAGAGAAUAGGUUCUUAAAUCCUUGGAUUCCUGAAUGGCUACUCUCUUAUUCUCAAAACUAGGAGGAAGGCCUCUAAGAAGUUUUCUGACAAUCCUAGAUUGUUCUAGAGGGGAAUCAAGACCAGCACACUGGUUUGUUAUGUUUAAAAUACGACUAUAAAACUCAUCUAUUGACUCACUUUCAGACAUUUUCAGCUCAUCAAAGUCUAACAAAAGAUCUUGGAGCAUCUGUUCUCUCACUUGCUCAUUACCUUCGUAGGUUGUUAACAACACUUCCCAAGCCUGUUUGGCCGAGACACAGGUAAGGAUUCGUUUGCGCUCCCCCUCAGAGAGAGCCGAGUACAAACUGUUGAGAGUUUUGAUAUUCAUCCGAGCAACAAUUUUUUCUGAAUCGGUCAACUCAAAUCUAGGCUUCGAUACACUUGCACCUGCCAGGAUUGAGGUCCGUUCUGGGGCUGACCAGCCAUCCUCAACCAUCAUUGUUUCCCAUCAUCUUGGGAAAUAAAGAAUGCGGUCAUCAUGAUUUUCCAUUGUGAAAAGUUCCUUCCUUCAAACAGAGGAGGACAGUUCACGGAAGUACCUCUAUCACCCAUUUUAAAACCCGAGGAUCUUGCUAGCAAAGGCUAGGAACUGCUCUAGUACCACUUAAAGGUCCUAGGAGGGGGGGGGGGGGGGGNNNNNNNNNNNNNNNNNNNNGGGGGGCGAAUAGGCCUUUUUCUGAAUUUUCGUUGACUUCUGUAUCCGAUGAUAGCAAUGACUUGUGCUAUCCCAGAUUCACAGGAUACGAGUUUGUAUAAAGUAAAUUGCAGCAAAUAAAGAAACAACACAAGGAUGUUUUUUUACUCGCAGAAACCCUGAAUGUAGGGAGAAAAACUGCGUGUCUCUAAAUCUUGAUAGACAAAACUUUCCACUAAGUUGAAGAAACUUCUUACAAGAAUAUUAGUUCUAGUGAUACACUACCACAAUGUUAUCCUUCCUAGUCUCAAACUAGUCUAGACCUAUUCCCUCUCUUGUUUCUAAGCUCUUACAACAUGGAACACUUUCAGAAGCCAUGUUCAUGAAUUCAGCUAACCACUAGCUGAUUCAACCUUGAACGCUUCUUGGGUUGGUUGCACUACACAUCCCUCAUGGUAUGCAACAUGAUAUGAGUUGAUGAAAGAAGUUUUGAGUUCAAGCUCUAAGGUUUACAAUCACGAGGAAGACUUAGAGCAACAUGAACAAUGCAAGCUAAAACUAGACUCAACAAAGAAAACGCAAUAAGGCAGUUUUCAACAACCAUUGAGCAAAACCAAAGCUAUAGAUAUAUAUAGGCAGACAAGGCAUCAAAGAUGAUGCAAGCUGACCUCAGCAUGUUUUAGAAAGAUUUGGACAAAAGUGUUUGACUCCCAUACUGAAAGUGAUGUGUCCAACCAAAGAGAUAUCACAAGCAAUCUCAAUAAGACAAAGGAACUUUUCCUAAACAUGAACGAUUCAAAACAGAGAGCAAAGAGGUUUCAAACCCUCUUACUCAGUCCAUUAGUGGACCUUGACACAGCCGAUAGCGACUGGUCUUUGAAUCACACAGAGACCAGCUUUGUAUUGGAUAAUGUAUCAUAAAAUCCAAGCUGGAGCCUUGAGCAUCAAACUAUUUGGUCAUGGGUUGGCAUAGCAAAAGAUCUCAACCCUUAGACUGGUUUGAGCGCCAAGGCAUUUCCCACCAACACGGUUGUCCAUUUGAAUUUGAAAACCAACAAAGACCUAAUUAACUAAUAUAACAGGUUCUUUGAAGAUCAGGACAACAAAAGACUCAGUACUAGGAUAGCAAGCGAAGCUGCUAACCUUUGUGAAAAACAGUGAUAUGCAGAUGCAUGUUUUACCUGAAACCAUAAGGGAUGUUAGUGACACUUGUUCUUGUUCAGAUGUCAAUAUCUCAAAGUGUUUUGCAGGAUAAAAUGAUUGUCAACUAUCCUUAUACCUUCACCAUACAUUAUGAGGUUUGAAGCCCCCCAGUAUAGAGAUCAUGAACUGCAAUACUGGUUCUGAGGCUAUUCUUCUCAUAAGGGAAUUGCAUGAAGGCACUUUGAACUUUUAAUUACUCCCAGCAAUAUCACGUCUCCCUGUAUGUAGAUGCAUAUAAUUAAGCUGCUAGGCUAUUUAAUCAUAUACAUGAUAAAGAGCCUCUUGUACGUAUUAUCUUCUACUGGCAGCUUCUUCUCCUCAAUCAUCUUUUCUCCAGAUAUACCAAGUCUGUGAUGGAGAUAUCAACAUGCACAACUCAUAGCCACUGUGUUGGUUAGAUAUAUAUCAAUCCACUUACUGGAAAAACAAAAGGCUAUAAUCUCUGCAUAUGUAUGCAUAAGGUCUAACAACUAAACCUUUGAUGCCGCUUUAAUUGGCAUUAGACUAUAAACCACAGUUACUGGUUUUAAAGUGCUAAGAUAUCACAAAGCACCAGAGAUAUAAGCCUCCCAGCAUGUGAAAAUAAAGCUUCGCAUACCUUGAUAAUGGUCUGUUUGAGCGAACAAGGUAGCCUUCGGGGUUAACCUCCUCAUGAAAUAAGAUGCCACAGUUGUUGGUACAAAAAUAUUUUGAAAACCACUGAUUGGUUUUUUGUACUUCAAAGCAUGAGAAGAAGAGUUGAAGAAAUUCUUGGCACCUGUCUCUACUUUGUUGGCAUCCAAUACUCACGCCACUGAUGCAAGACCUCCUUUGACUUGGUAGCUUGUUAUUGCCACUUUGAAGCAAAUUAGGCAUGAUGAUGAAUUUAUGAUGACCAUGCUUCCUUGUAUAUGGAUACAAAUAAGUUACCAACAUAGUUAACCAACUCCACUUAUGCACAUACUCCUCCUAUUAUGGAACCUGAAAGCUUGCACAAGACAUUCUGCCCAAGAGUAAUGCUUUCAUGUAAUCGUAGAGCAACAGGCCAACAACUAGCCCCCCAAGUGUAUCCUCAGUAGCACUUCUGGUCAGCCAAAUCUCCAAGCAUGAUAAAAUAUAAGCCACUGUAAUUGGCUUUAAGAAACACAGAUGUUGUUUCGGAUAUUCAGAAUUAAAGGCCACAGUUAUUGGCCAAGUAAAUCAUGACUGCUGUUGCCUAUAUCUCAACAAGAAUGUUAACAAAGCAACACCUUUGGAAGCCACAGGUGUUGGCUUCUAAAAUAAUAAGACAUCACCAAAACUCUGCACAAAAUCUCACAAACUUCAAAAAAUUUGUACCUGAUUCUGUCCCAAUUUGCCCCCCAGUUUUGGUGUCCGAAAUUGAGCGAAUGAAGGGUAGCAAAACUUGAGUCUCAAGCCCCCCAAGUAUGAAAGCAUGUAUAGAAAACAAACCAGUAUGCAUUCGCCGAGCGAAAGGUACCGUGCUAGAAGCUCCAAAGGUCAUGAACAAACACAUGAUGCUGAUUGUCGUGCAUUCUGACCUUCUGGUACUCAAACUGCCAUAACUCUCUCCUGGAAUGUCGGAAUUACAAACCGUAAAUUUUGUUGAAAAGUAGACAUCCAGGGCUUCCGUGCAUAUGCAGCUUGCUUGCUGGUUCAUCCUAGAUCUGCCCAGUUUAAUCCGUGAAGUUGCUGCACAAUAGAGGCUGCUGUAAUUUGCAGAAUUGCAAACUUUCUUCUUCUCUUCUGUGUCUGCACUUUGUUGUUUCAAUGGCAGUGACUCCAAGACAUAUAGAUUGUAUUUUGCAUCCGAGGCCUGAGGUGUAGGCCUCUAAGUGUAUGAUAUGAAAUUCAAACCUCUUGCCAGGUAAGAACAUUAUCUUGCAUUUCAGCAAAACACAGAAUCUCUUUUGGAUUUUUUAUUUUUCAAUGCAAGAAAUAAAACGGAACUGAAAGCAAAAGAAAGAAGGAAUCUCAACAUGAUUAGUUACCCUUCGAAAGGCCACAGGGGAGGCCACCAAUGCUUCACUCCAAGCCUUGACAUGUUGACAUUCGCGGCAUGAGACUCUCUCUUGCGAGAAUUUCCAAGUGUUGAGCAGAGAUGCUUUGUGUCACUCACUUGAAAAUUUUGGAAACGCUGCUCGUAGGGUAUGUCUCUUAGCCCCCAUGCAUCUUCGUCAUUUGACAAAGCAUAAUCUUUAAUUGAAGUUUUGCAGAUGGUAUAGAGUAGAGAUCCGCCUUGUCGCCAACUACCAUGUCGUAGUGCAUGAUGUCUUCAAAGGUAGCCACCAAUUGGCUGUCAUAAGAAACCACUUGCUGGUUUAUAUUUUUAUCAACAAGAGACUCAAAGUAGACCUCCUGUGUGUGUGACAUGCUGAUGUUAGAGCCAAUGAUUAACCUGUAGUUACCAUCAUACUCAUCAUAGAUUGGUUCCACAUCAGAAUCAUAAUCACCACAGAUUGAUGAGUUAGUCGUGUUAACGUGAGUCUCAAUCCUAGUAUAUUGGGAAGAUGUAUAUUCUGUAAUCAACUAGGAUUAUGUAAAUCUUUCGGUGUAAUUAGUUUCCUUCUACGGUUAGAACUGUGCUUGUAUAUAUACCCGACUUAGGGUUUGUUCAAUACAUCAGAAAAUUCCCAACCUUUUGUGUUCUGUUUGACUUGGCAUCAGAGCCUAAGUCGAUCCUGGCAAUCUUGGUAAUCUGACCCUGUUGUUUUCCGCUGCAAAUUUGUAAACCUGUCCCAAUUUGAUCUGUUCGACGUGUCGAAGGAAGCUUUCGAUUUCGUCGAAUUUUGUCGUACUUGUUUUGUUCCUCUGACAUCAAAUCCACUUUGCAAUGGAUCUUGCAAUCUUUGGUGAUCAACCUGAAGUUUCCCGUGAACAAUUGAUGGCUCUUCAAAACAAGAGCUCAGGCUUUGGAGUGAAACUGGAUGGCACAAACUAUCCAGUAUGGCGACGACUUAUGAAGAUGCAUCUUGGUGGUGUGGGCAAGUGGGAAUAUGUCGCUGGCACUCUCCAACGACCUGAAGAAGUUGGCAAGGCACAAGCUAUGUGGGAUGCUGCAAAUUCUAAUACGAUGGUGCUUCUUCUCAAAUCCAUGACCAGACCAAUCAUGCUGUUGUUGUCAAGCUAUACGACACCAAAGGCAAUCUGGGAUGCAGUCGCAACCACAUACUAUGAUGGGAGUGAUUUUGCAACAGUUCAUGAGUUGACCUGUCAAGCUUUCGCAACCACUCAAGCUGGUAAGCCUCUUGCAGAAUAUUAUGCCGGCUUGAAGGCUAUCUGGCAAGAGUUGGAUGAAAGGGACCCCAAUCUUAUGGUGUGUGAUCUGGAUAUAACUACACACAACAAGUCCCAAGACAAGAUGCGAGUCCACAUCUUCUUGAAUGGAUUGGAUUCAAAAUUUGCUACUUCUAAGGGAGAACUGCUUCGACAAGCCACACCACCAAGUCUGGAACAAGCUUAUGCUUAUGUACGCAAAGAUGAAUCCAAUCAGUCUAGCGCAAAGGAGUUGCAUAUCGAGGUAUCCAGCCUCACUGUCUAAUCUAAACCUCAACAAGAUCGGAAACCAAAGAACCAAGACAGUGAACUUCGAAUCCAGCCUGCUCAUGGACCAGAUCUUGCUAAGGUGCAGUGCUUCUAUUGUAAGGAGUUUGGACACUAAAAGAACUCGUGUCCUAAGAAAACAAAUCAAGGAGCUACCUAUGAUAAAAGUCGCGGUGGCAAGGCUGCUAUUCAGUUGGUCCAAGAACUUGAUUUCUAUGGAGUAGGAGGAUAAGACCUCACCACAGGUAUGUGUUCUCAGGAGAGAAGAGGUAAAAUUGGUAUUGCAUUAAAAAUUUCUUACUUUAUUGGUAGUGAUACAUGGAUAAUUGAUUCUAGUGCGUCUGAUCAUAUGACAUUUGAUAAGUCCUUUUUUUCGAGUAUGUUCCCAUCUCCCAUACCUGAAGUGUCUAAUGCAAAUGGGGUGUCCUUCCCGGUCCUAGCCUCCUAGGUAUAGGGUCAAUUCAAGUUACUCCAACAAUUGUGUUAAACAAAGACCUUUAUGUUCUCGCUCUAUCACAUCACUUAUUGUCUGUUUCUGAAUUGAAUUCACAAAACAAAUGCUAUGUAACCUUUUUUCCUAUGUAUGUUAUCUUCCAGGACCUAUCAUCUCAGGCGAUAAUAGGCAAGGGAGAUAUGCGGGGGAGACUAUUUCACUUGGAUUGCAUGUAUAGCGGGGAAGCAAGAGCACCGUCACCAACCGUUGCCCUGACAUUGAGUUCUGAUCGAGUAAAAGAAAUUUGGCUAUGGCAUCGCCAAAUGGGUCAUCCAUCUUUUGGAGUCAUGAAGAAGUCGAUGCCAUCUUUGUUUUUUGGAAUAAAAGAGUCAAGUCUCCAUUGUGAAACUUGUGUUUUUGCUAAGAGUCAUAAGUCUAGUUAUUCUCCUAGUUUUUCUUCUAGUUCUGCACCAUUCGAGUUGAUUCAUUCUGAUGUAUGGGGGCCUUCGAAGAAUUUGACAUUGACAGGAAUAAAGUACUUUGUUUUGUUUUUUGAUGACUUUACAAGAUUAACUUGGGUUGUGUUAUUGAAAAAGAGGGAUGCAGUGUUUUCAGCUUUCACCGCUUUUCAUAGUCUCAUCUGACAAUGAUGCUUGUGUGAAAAUAUUUCGAUCUGACAAUGGAGGAGAGUUUGUUAACCACUCUUUCCGAGACUAUUUUUGUAACAUCCCGGACCUAAUUUUACCCUUUUUACUGGGUAUUUGACGAGUUACUGAGGAAUUUAACCGUGCUUGUAAUUUGGUAAUUUAUCACUCGAGUUUAUUGUCGAGUUUUACUCAAAAUGUUAAAUUCCUCUUUUAAGGGCUCGAUUGUAGUAUGUGUCGACAUGGGUUCAGCGGUGCCUAUAGAUGAUUUAUCAGAGGUUUGGUUAAGUAUAGAAAUUAUAUUUUCGGAAGCAAAUAACGUUUAAUCCAGGCUGUCAUAUCUAUUAGGGCUUUGAUCUGGGCCGUAGAAUUUAAGCUUAAAAGGGUAAAGUGGAGCUUGACCCAGUCAAAAACCCAACACGGGUUUGACCGAGCCUAACCGUCUCCCUCUCUCUUCUCCCUCGUCUCCCUCUGUCGCUGCCUUCUCCAGCGCAGCUCCGCCGUCUCUGGCCACCCCUGGCGGCGAGACCACCGCCGUUCUCUCCCUCUCCUCCUCUCCUUUCUGGCCCAGCCGUGGAUCGCAUGUCUGACCGAAAUCGAGGGAGAUCGAAAGCAUGGAUACUUCACUGGUUGUGCUGAUUUCCGGCGAGCUCCGGCGGAGGACAGCAGCAUUGAAGGGUAUAUUCUUGUUCUCUUCACUUCCCUCUCCCUUUCUUUGUCAUUUAUUGUGCGAAUCGAACCCUAACCUAGAAACCCCUUUCUUCUUUUUUCUGGGUUUCGAGCUCUUAGCUCCGGCGAUCGGCGUCCGAUGGUUUCCGGGCGAGUGCUCUGGGUUUUUGCUGAAGCCGAUGAGGCUUCAUGGUACCUCUUGUCUCCAUCCCGAUGACUUGCUGAGCUCCAAGAGGCCAAAUCGAUCGUGUGUGGAGGCUUGAGGUGUUGUUGCUGCUUAAUGGGAGGAACCACGAACCUGGAAUCCGACAAGAGAGCCACUGCCGGCAAGAGAAGCUUUGCUGUCAUCUGAAGGUAAUCUUCUUGCAUCUAGAGUUAUUGGGUUGCUGCUGUGUUGAUUAGGGUUUGAGAAAAUUUGGUGUAUGGCUGCUAAUGUGAAUGUUUUGGUUGUUGUUGUCGAUAACUUGGAAUUUGGAGUAUACGGGGAAGUUAUGGCGAAAUUCCGGCAAGUGGCCGGAAUCCGGCAGAAUAUUCCGGCAAGUCGUCGGAAUCCGGCGAAGGCAGUUAGUCCGACAAGAGCAGUUGAGGUAGUUAUCGAAGUUUUCCUUUUAUUUUGCGUUGUUUCAUAAAUAGGAAAGUUUGUCGGUUUAUAAUCGGAAAUCUUUCUAAGUGAGGAAAGUUCCUAUUUUGGGAAACUUUCCCUUUUUGGAAACUCCCUAUUUAUGGAAACCCUUUUUGGGUGCCCUUAGUAAAUUUUAGGGUGAAGUUGUGUAGAGAGGAAAUGAAGGAAAUUCUUGGUUUUGUUUGUGAGCAUGUUUGAUCGUAGGGGAUCAUAAAAUAAUUUUGGAAGUAUUUUGGUUAAUGUGUUAAGGCAUGGAAAUUGAUGGUGACUUUGAUUCUAGGAUAAGGUUCAUUCCGAAUAAGUCAUAGUUGCGAAGUUUAGUCGGAAUUGAUUAUUAAUAUAUGUCGGUAAAUCCUGGUCAACCCAGGAAACUUAGUCAAUUUAAGAAGAAGACGAAUCAAUGAUUAUUUCGGAAUCUGGUUUGACCGAUUUAUUCUGCUGUUUAUCAUCAGACGUGGGAUUGACUCGAGAUUAUGAAUAGUGGAGGCAGCGCUCGAGGAGUAUGCCGAGCAUUGGAAGGCUUAGGCCUAAUACUGUGAGUGGACUUUUAUUUGAAAUAAUAUGCAUACUAUGNNNNNNNNNNNNNNNNNNNNCACUCACUCUAACGGUUUCAAAUUUUCCCCUGGGCUCUUCGUUUAAAAUGCCCAGUUUGCAGGAUUGCAUAGUUGUGGUCGGACGUAUUUGGAGAAGAGGCAUAGUCAAUAGUGUAGCUUCCGCUCAUUUUUAUAUUUCUAGUUUAUUUCCUUUCAAUUAGAAUUGCUCUGAACUGUGAUGGUUGGUUGUGAGAUUAUUCUUUUAAAGUUAGUAAAUAAUUUGGAGAUGUUGUGAUUUGGGGAGCACGAAGGCUCCAGGAGUUCAAGGUUGGAUUUAAAUUUUCAGAAGUGUUUGCAGGUUUUAGGAAGGGUUGUCCAUUUUCAAGGGAGGUUAUGCCGAAUUUUCGGUAAAUUUUCCUUGGAGGUGGUCCCCGCACGACUUACUCUGGGUUUCAGGGUGAAAUUUGGGGCGGGUCGUGUCAAUUUUCAGCAACAUGGAAUUGUUCAUCGGACUACUUGUCCUCAGACACCAGAACAGAAUGGGGUAUCUAAGAGGAAAAAUCGACACCCCUUGGAUAUUGGAAGAGCUCUCUUACUCAGUGUCAAUCUACCCAAAUAUCUCUAGGGUGAAGCUGUGUUGUGUGCCUCUCACCUUAUCAACCGUCUAUCAUUUGCAGCUCUUCAGAAUCGGGUUCCCUUUGAGGUAUUGUCUGAACAUGUUACUAUUCCAUCACUCAACAAACUUCCUGCUCGUGUCUUUGGUUGUGUGGCAUAUGUUCAUCUUUACAAAAAUCAGAGAUCUAAGUUGGAGGCUCGUUCCCUUAAGUGUGUGUUUGUUGGAUACGGAUCCCAUCAGAAAGGAUAUAUAUAAGUGCUACCAUCCUCCGUCUCAACGAUUCUAUGUCACCAUGGAUGUCACAUUUAGUGAAGACCUGUGCUAUUUUUCUCCUACGGUAUCUCCGAGUGAGGAGGAGAAGCAUGUUUUUUAUGAAGAUCAAUUUGGAAAACUAGAAGAUUGUGUAAUUGUUGACAGUAACCUAACUGAAAAGGAUCUUCGGCCUGUCACCGACCAAAUCCAGAAUCCGAGAGAUAAUACUCUAGAACCUCAAAAAGUGGUUCAAUCUAUUGAACCUGCCCAAGUUGAGGCGUCUGUUCCCUGUUCUAAAAGUGUUCGACAUGACGAACAACUGUCUGACACGUCGAAAGGAGGAGAAUUGAAUAGUAAUCAGCCACCAGUUGUUGAAGAUGUAAAUGCAAGUUCAGUCUCUCCCCCUACAUCAACGAUCUCUCCUGGCUUGUCAUCACCUGAGGUAUGUAGUACUAUUCCAUUGUCAUCCUCCAAUGUCCUUGAAUCUAAUAGAGUCUUGCCUGCUAGGUCAACCCGUGGUCAACCUCCUAAAAAAUAUAAGCCUCUCUUGUCAGCUAAAGCUAAGUAUAGCCAACUACGUGUCAACUCAUAGAUUGUCUAAACCUUAUGUAGCCUUUGUGAAUCAAUUAUCUGUUGUGUCUCUUCCUAGUAAAGUCCAGGAUGCAAUCAAGGAGGAGAAGUGGGCCAAAGCAAUGGAGGUUGAGAUGGAUGCUCUCAAGAAGAAUGGUACUUGGGAUUUGGUGUCGUUACCACCUGGAAAGAAGAUCAUUGGUUGUAGAUGGGUUUAUACUGUGAAGCAUAAUGCAGAUGACUCAGUUGACAGAUAUAAGGCAAGGUUGGUUGUAAAAUGAUACACUAAAAAAUAUGGGGUGGAUUAUGAUGAGACGUUCGCACCUGUGGCAAAGAUCAAUACCAUUCGAGUCCUCAUGUCUUUGGCAGCUAAUCUGGAUUGGCCCCUGGAGCAGUUUGAUGUGAAGAAUGCAUUUCUUCAUGGAGAUUUGAAUGAAGAAAUUUACAUGGAUCUUCCUCUAAGAUAUAAUACUUUUACGGGCGAGAAGGUGGUGUGCAGAUUGAAAAAGUCCCUGUGCAGAUUGAAGCAAUCUCCAAGAGCUUGGUUUGGAAGGUUCACGUCUUUCAUGAAGAAGAUUGGGUAUAGGCAGAGUAACUCAGAUCAUACUUUGUUCCUGAAACACCGACAGGGUAAGCUUACUGCCUUGAUCAUUUAUGUGGAUGACAUGGUAGUGACAUGUGAUGACACUGGUGAAAUUAGAAGAUUGAAAGAUCAGUUGUCUUCUGAAUUCAAGAUGAAGGACCUUGGGAAUUUAAAGUAUUUCUUAGGAAUUGAGGUAGCCAGGAACAAGGACUGUAUCAUGCUGAGUUAAACAAAAUAUGUUCUGGAUUUGAUGGCAGAGACUGGUAUGCUUGAUUGUAAACCAGUUGAUACACCGAUAGAACAGAACCAUCGAAUUGCAGAGUAUCCUGAUCAAGUUUCAACUGACAAAUUCGAUAUCAAAGGUUAGUUGGAAGAUUAAUUUACUUGUCGCAUACUAGACCUGAGCUUGCUUAUGCGGUUAGUGUGGUGAGUCAGUAUAUGCACAAUCGUAGUGAAUAUCACAUGAAUGAUGUGAUGAGAAUCUUGAGAUACUUAAAGUCUGCUCCUGGAAAAGGCCUGGUGUUUCGUAAGCAUGGACAUUUGAGGACUAGUGGUUACACUAAUGUGGACUGGGCAGGGAACAUCAUUGACAAGCGUUCUACUUCUGACUAUUUUACGUUUGUUGGUGGAAACUUAGUCAUUUGGAGAAGCAAGAAACAGAAUGUGGUGGCCCGUUCUAGUGCAGAAGCUGAGUACAGAGGUAUGGCUCAAGGAGUCUGUGAGUUAUUAUGGUUGGGAAGUUUAUUAAAGAGUUUGGGUUUCAAGCAGGAAUGGUCAAUGCCUCUUCACUGUGACAAUACUACUGCGGUUGAAAUUGCACAUAAUCUUGUUCAGCAUGAUCGAACAAAGCAUGUAGAGAUUGACAGGCACUUCAUCAAGGAAAAGCUAGAUGCACGCAUAAUCUCGUUCCCAUUUGUUCCUUCGAGGGAGCAGCUAGAUGACAUCCUUACCAAAGUUGUGUCGUCCAGGGUGUUCAGUGACUCACUUGAAAGUUGGGCAUUCAAGAUUUGUAUGCGCCAACUUGAGAAGGAGUGUUAACGUGAGUCUCAAUCUUAGUAUAUUGGGAAGAUGUAUAUUCUGUAAUCUAGGAUUAUAUAAAUCUUUCAGUAUAAUUAGUUUCCUUCUAGGGUUAGAACUGUGCUUGUAUAUAUACCCGACUUGGGGUUUGUUCAAUACAUCAGAAAAUUCUCAACAUUUUGUGUUCUGUUUGACUAGUCGCUGCCUCAAAGAUAGGCAUAUAAGAACUAUAAGCAUCACGAUGCAACGUCUGUAAGGUUUGGCCAGUAUCAUCAUAAAUAAAUUUCUGCUCCAGGAACUUUGGAGCAUAAUAACUACAAGCCAACAGAUCAACUUCUUUGUCUUUGAACUUACAUCCGCCAAAGAUGAAUAAGCCAUCGUUGUAGAUAGCAUGGUGAGAUGUCUGUGAAGUACCAUCAUCAUGAAACUCCUUUCCUGAAAAGGUUAGAGUCUGAACGUUGCAAACCAAAGUUAACUGGCACUGAUUGUUAGGGUUUUAUCCCUAACUGAGAGAAAAGGAAAACAAAUUGAAAUAAAGAAGAAAGGAAAUAAAAUCAGAUUUUCAUUGAUGGCCUCUCAAAGGCAAUGGUUACAGUACUUAAAGGAAAAUAGAGAGCAAAUACAGCUAGCAGUGGUCCAUAACAGAUGAGGGUGUCCUUAGUAAAGUUAAGGGUGUGUGCUAACUAAAUGAUUCAUAACAUUUCUUCCCCCUUCAACAGAAACUUGUCCUCAAGUUUCACUUAUAGAAUCAUAGUCCAACAGAAACUUCUCAAGUUCAAAUUCAAGAGACAUUGCAAGCACAACAACAAUAGCUCCAUACUGAACAAUGAGCAUAAGGAGGAGACACACCUUCCACUCUGCCAUAAUAAGAACAACAUGAUAACCCUUCCAGCCCAUCAAUCCAGCAUAUGUGAAGUACCACUCUUGAAAUUUGAAGCUCAAACAAAUACCUGCUACCUUAACAUCAAAUGUUAUCAAGAAUGCUUGUUCACCCAAAGUAGGAAGUAGGUUAGUAGCGAGAUAACUGUAAUAAUCACCAGUAGCCAACAUACAACUCCUUCCCUGUUUCAUAAAGUAAUGAACCAAUAUUGGCAACCUUGUCUUACUGUUGAGUUCUGAAUACCAAGCAUCAUUUUUUGACCCAUAAUUAGUUGAACCAAUGACAUGAGCAGAUAGUUGAUUCAUAAGUAAUGCCUUCACAAGAGCAUAAUCAUCAUCACUGCCAAUAAACUGAUGUAACCCAGAAGUUUUGAAUGUCAUUGCCAACAACACUACAAGUCCAUGCAGACAUACGACUAACAAGCUAAACCAUUUGCAGCAGUCCAGGUUUGACCUCAGAAGUACUUUCCAAUUAUCAAAUCUACCAAUUAUAACAUCACGAAAGUCCACUUUCCAACACAGAGUAGCCGAAAAGCCAAGAAAAGUGUAUACGUACCAAGGUGUGGUCGGAUAAUCAGGGUCUUCAAAUGGCCAGUAUCCAAUGGUCUUGUGGCAGUAGUACAACACCAUGAUCAAAACCUGAUCACCUAACAUGAAACUGUCUGAGGCUUCACAUAUAGGAGCAAUUGAUUGCUUGACAAUUCUUGAGGAGCUGUAUCAUAAUCCAUCACAUAAGUAAUGUUUUAUAUUUGAAAGCUCUAUGUGUAUCCCCUGUAGAAACACAUUUGCUUGUCUCCAAGUUGCUCAGUGUAUGUACAACAAGCUCUGAGAGGUGAACCAAAGAAUGCCUCUGAGUAAGUCCUUGAAGAUUAUGAGAGUUGGGAUUGUGAGGGAGCUUACUGUGCAUGAAGGCCCAUGUAAGGUACUCACCAACAUCUUGCUUGUGCCCUGUCAUCAUAUUCAAGUCUUUGUAUGUAUCAGCAGCUUCAUGUGACAAAUGUAAUUGAGUAAAUGCAAUUGCAAUGACAGCCGCAAGAUCUACUAGAUCAAUAUGAUACUCAUGUUGCAACAACUCCAAACUUGUCGAUGCUUCUCCCAUAACAAACACAAUAAGGUAAGGUAAGAGUAAUGGAGGAUGCCUAUCUCCCUUCACAAGAGCAUAGAGGAAUGCAUCAACCAUGUUGUCAACAAAUAUAAGCCCCUUCUCUCCAUCAACUAAACUGUUCCUCUUCACCUUAUGCCACUGUAAUAAAACAUGAAGGGAUUUGUCCUCAGAAACAUACUCUCUAAUUAAUGCCAAAUCCAUGUCCAUCUUAAGCUCUGAGUUACUAAUCUGCAUAAGCAUUUGAGUUGCUUCAGCUAUUUUAUGCUCAUUGCUACAAGCCUUCAAUAUUGGCACAUGCACAUAAGACCCCAAAAUAAUUCCCUAAGCAUUCUUUUUGUAGAAAUUGAAUUUCAUGGAUAGAAAAGUUUUACACUCGCUGGAUAUAUACAGAUCCUAUAGCUAGUAUUUUAGGAAUAAUUACAACUAAGGUAAGCAAUGAAUACAGAUCACAAUUAGUGAUUCUACAGAGAAAUUAGGAAGGUAAUAGGUGAUUGAAAUCACGCUUGAUUUGGGGAGAAUCCAUAUCAGCUUUAAUACCCCCCCGCAAACUAGGCGGCCUUGGGCUGACAAGUUUGAGACACAAGGCAGAAUGGCGAGAUUUGUGGAGAGGCUUGGUGAGUAGGUCAGCUGGCUGGUCAACAGACGGAAUGUAACAAACACGGUGACUACCAAGAACAACUUUUUCACGAACAAAAUGGUAGUCAAGUUCGAUGUGCUUAGUGUGGGCAUGGAAAACCGGGUUAGAGGCCAAAUAGGUUGCACUGAGAUUAUCACAGUGAAGCUUAAUAGGAAGGGCUAAGUGCACGCCAAGUUCAUACAGUAAAUGGCCUAACCAGGUGGUUUCAGCAGAGGCAUGAGCGAGAGAGCGGUACUCUGCUUCAGCACUAGAACGUGCUACUGUCGGUUGCUUCUUAGAACACCAUGAGAUGAGAUUGGAACCAAGAUACACCAAAUAACCAGUGGUAGAGCGGCGUGAAUCCGGACAGCCGGCCCAAUCGGCAUCUGAGUAAGCCGAUAGUGUAAUUGGGUGAUGUUGAGGGCGAAAUGAAAGACCAUGGUCCAAGGUACCCUUGACAUAACGGAAAAUACGUUUGGCAGCAACAAGGUGAGUGGUCCGAGGUUGACUCAUAAAUUGAGCAACUGAGUUGACUGCGAAAGAGAUGUCCGGUCGUGUAAUAGUAAGGUACUGGAGGGAACCAACCAUUUCACGAAAUAGUGUCGGAUUNNNNNNNNNNNNNNNNNNNNCGGAUUGUCAAGGAGCUCGCCAUCAGUAGCCAUCAGAGGAGGUUUUGCAGCCAAAGGUGUGGUCAUCGGUUGACUGAGGAGAAGAUCAUACUUGUGAAGGAUGUCAUGAGCAUAUUUGAGUUGGUCAAUGUGAAGACCAUGAGAAGAGGAAGUCACCUGCAAGCCAAGAAAAUAAUGGAGAGGACCAAGGUCUUUUAUAUCAAAGCCACGGCUGAGAGCAUGAAUGAAACUCUCAACAACACGGUCAUUGCUACCGGUGACGACUAUGUCAUCAACAUAAAGGAGCAGGUAUAUGGUGUGUGGCCCGUAGUGAAAUAUGAAGAGAGAGUGAUCGGCCUUACUUUGAAUAAAUCCAGCAGAUAAAAGGAAGGCACUGAUGCGAUUGAACCAGGCUCGUGGAGCUUGCUUGAGGCCGUAGAGAGAUCGGUGAAGUUUGCAGACAUAAGAAGGAUGGUCAGGGUCAACAAACCCAGGAGGCUGGGUCAUAUAGACAUCUUCAUUGAGAAAUCCCUGGAGGAAGGCAUUCUUGACAUCUAGUUGACGAAGAGUCCAGCCUUUAGACACAGCAAUGGCAAGAACUGUGCGAAUGGUCGCAGGCUUAAUGACCGGGCUGAAGGUUUCUUGAUAAUCAAUUCCAUGUCUCUGAUGGAAACCUAUGGCAACCAGUCGAGCUUUAUAACGAUCAAUCGAGCCAUCUGGAAGAUGUUUAAUCCGGAAAACCCACUUGCAUCCAACAGUGUUUUGUGUAGGAUGAGGUGGAACAAGCGUCCAGGUUUGAUUCUUCAAUAAGGCAUUGAUUUCUUCAGCCAUGGCAUCACGCCAUUCCUUGGAUUUGGAGGCCUAAGAGUAACACGUUGGUUCGGCAUCAGUAAUAACAGUGAGGAGAGCACGAGGAACCGGAUACCUGAUAGUGCCAUCAGAUCGAAGUUUGGGCUUGGAGUGGCCCGUACGUGAUCUGGUUUGCACUGUGGAGGGCGCGGCUACAGUUGAGGAGGGCGGAGCGGCAGCGGGUGGCUCCGGCAAGGCUGAGGACGUGGGAGGCGCAAUGGAGGAAGAGAUAUCCUCUAAGGGGGAGGAUGCAGCUUCUAGGUGAGGAGAAGGAAUAUGUGGCGGUGGUGGCUGGGCUCGGCGGCGAUAGGUGUGAUGGAUGAUGGGCGGAGGAGGAGGAGGAAGGGGCGGGGGAAUCUGGCGAGCACGGCGGUGAUAGGUGGCAAGUGAGGGUGCGGCGUUGGCGGAGGUAGAGGCAGGGAGAGAAGGCGAAGUGGUGGCCGGGAUGGGAGAGGGAGAAGGCGGAUCAGAUUGAUUUUCAGGAAUUGUGGAAUUUGGAGUGAUUGGCUGUGUUUAGGUGAGAAGGAGAGACGUAUGGGAAGGACUGGAAUCAUUGUUUGGAUCGGAUUGGGAGUGUGAAGAGGGAGUGUUGGGCGGAUGAAAGAGUGGAGUGGGCCUGGGAGGGUGGGCCGAGGAAGAAGAUGUGAGAUGCACAAAUGCAAGUGGACCAAUAGAAUGUACCUGCAAAGUUUUAAACGGAAAACUUGUUUCGUUAAAAAUAACAUUACGAGAUAUAUAUACUCGACCAGAGGAAGGAUGGAGACACUUGUAGCCUUUAUGAUGAGGGCUAUAACCGAUGAAGACACACUCAAGGCUACGAUUUGACAAUUUGUUUGACACAUAAUCACCUAGGUAAGGAAAACAUGAACAGCCGAAAACACGAAGAGAGAAAUAGGAAGGAGGACGUUGAUAAAGACGAAAAUAAGGGGUGUCCCAGUCCAGUGUGGACGUAGGAAGAAGACUAAUAAGAAAUACAGCAGUGAGGGCGGCUUCCACCCAAAGAUACUGUGGAGAAUUUGAAGUAGUGAGAAGGGUCACUACCAGGACAAGCACUUUAGCCGACGAAAAUUUUUCGUCGGCCUGUCAGCUUAAUUCGUCGGCUAAGAUCUUAGCCGACGACCUUUCGUCGGCUAAGAUUUCGUCGGGAAAAGCUCGUCUGUGGUGACUUUAGCCGACGACCUUUCGUCGGCUAAGAUUUCGUCGGGAAAAGUCGUCGGCUAAAGUCUGGACUAUAGCCGACGACAUUAUUUCGUCGGCUAAAGUAUGGACUAUAGCCGACGACUUUUUUUGUCGUCGGUUAUCUGCCAAAAUUUAGCCGACGAAUAUUUUAAAAUAUUCGUCGGCUAAAGUUUGUAAUAAAAAAAAUAAAAAAGAUCUAUGGCCGACGAAAUAUAGUAUAUUUCGUCGGCUUUAUAGGUAUUUAGCCGACGAAUUAGAGCAUAUUUCGUCGGCUAAAAGUUAUUUUAAAAAAAAUAAAAAACUUUAGCCGACGAAUUAAAGCUUUUUUCGUCGGCUAUAAGUCUUUUCCAGUAAAAAAAAAAACCCCGAAAUUUCUGAAUUAGCAUUCNNNNNNNNNNNNNNNNNNNNUGGUAGCUAGAGCAUGAGGAACUUUGGAAGGAGUGCCGGAAACAGGAAGAGGAUAAAGGCCAUCUUUACAAGGGCCCUGAAACAAUAAACGACCUGAGCGUAAGCAAUAUAUCCGAUAAAGAUUAGGAGCAAAAAGAAAGAACACAAGGUUAUCUUUAGUAAACUGGGCUACAGACAAAAGAUUUUUACGAAUGGACAGAAUUUGAAAGACAUUAUUGAGAGAAAAGUGAGAAGGCCCCAAAGAUAGGGGUAGAGUACCCGUAUGAGAGACAUGCAUAGAAUCACCGUUACCCAUAUAGACAUUGUGAGGACCUCCAUAAUUUUGUGGAUUGUGAACCGGCAUAAAGGUCAUGUGGUGAGUAGCACCAGUAUCAGGGUACCAGAAAGGAUCAUCAGGUUGGGCAAAAUGUGCGCCAGCAAAUGGUCGAAUUGUGUUAGGACCAGCAAACCGAUGUGGGCAUUGGGAAGGCCCAUGAAAGGAGAACAUACAAGUUGGACACCACUGAUGUCCAGGAGGUGGGCCAAGGAUGCCUGGUUGAGAAGGACGCCGCAUUUGCUGGUGUUGGGUCUAUGGAUUGGGCUGGGAAAAACCCAUAUAAGGCUGAUAAGAAGGAAAAGACUGUUGUUGCUGUUGUUGAUACGGCUGAGUGUGGAAGCCUCCAGAUCGGGAAGACUGCCCAUAUGACCGGCGCUGCUUGCCGGACUGGCGUUCACCGCGGCCGGCCCCAGCAGACGGACGGCAACCGGAACGGUAAGAGGAGGCGGCCGAAUUGGUGGAGGAGCCAACGUUGUGAAAUAGAGCAGUGGUGUUGGGCACGACAGGAGAUGAGGUUUGUUGAGCAUCAAACGCUAGAAUUCUGGCGCGGAGAUCAGAGAAGGUGGGGAGAGUACUCUGGGACAAGGCAGUACGAAGCAUCAAAUAAUCAGAACCAAGACCAUGAAGAGUAGCAAUUACCAGAUCGGCAUCAGAAACAGGCUGAUCAAUGGAGGCAAGGGCAUCGGCGAUGGACUUGGCAUGUUGCAGGUAGGCAUCAACGGAUUGAUUCCCUUUCUGAAGUUCAUACAAUUGAAGCUUCAAGUUUGUGGCACUAGCAGCAGAUUUUUGAUUGAAGAAAUUGGCAAGGCAAUCCCAAAUCGCUUUGGAUGUGGAGCAGCCAAGGCAAAUCCGAGCAACAGGUUCGGUGAGAGAGGUGGUGAGGAUGCUAACGAUCUUUUGAUCCUCAAUGAACCAGGCUUUGUGCGCCGGGUUUGGGUUGGUGGAAGCCGGAGUAUUGCCACUGGCCGGGACAUCAAUUGUGGGAGAUGGUUCUGCAAUGGAGCCAUCGAUGUAGCCCCAUAGGUCAGCACCAUUCAGGUAUGAUUGAACUGGAACAACCCAAACCAAAUAGUUCGUUUCUGUGAGUUUGGGGAAAGAGGAAGUGUUUUGGGAGAUGGAGGUGGAGGAGGAAGCCAUCAGACAGAAAAGAUGAAGGAAGGGAAAGAAGGAAGGAAGGAAGAGAGGAAGACACAGGUAUGGAUCUUAAGACUAAGCUGAUACCAUGUAGAAAUUGAAUUUCAUGGAUAGAAAAGUUUUACACUCGCUGGAUAUAUACAGAUCCUAUAGCUAGUAUUUUAGGAAUAAUUACAACUAAGGUAAGCAAUGAAUACAGAUCACAAUUAGUGAUUCUACAGAGAAAUUAGGAAGGUAAUAGGUGAUUGAAAUCACGCUUGAUUUGAGGAGAAUCCAUAUCAGCUUUAAUACUUUUCAUCAAAAGUAACAUGUGCUUCAUCUGAUAAUGUCGUACCAAUGCAAGCAUUAAUAAUGCCAUAACAACCGAAUAUAUCAACCAUAAUUGUAGGAGACUCUAGCUUCCAAGCUUCAAUAAUCAAAGUUUCCAACACAGUUGCAUUUCUGUUGUCAAGAAAUCCAACUCGAGAAUACGUUUUUCCAUCCAAAUUCCAACAUUCACCAUCUUCAGGUGGCCUGGUGCAUCCCAACAUAAAAAUAUGGCCCAUAAAAAUAUCAUCAAGCUCACUAACAGGUUUGGUUGCUACAUUUGAAUGAAGGUCUUUAGACUCCAAAGAAGACUUGCACUCCAACUUGCUAGUAACUAAGCCACUGAUUCCCUUGUCUGGCAAUUCAAAGAAGGCCUUUUUACUGACAUGAGAAGCAUCAAAAAUUCCAGGAUGAGUAGCAGGUCUCUGAGUGGUUUGCAAUUUCCCUUCGUUAGCAGACUCCAUAUUAAACCUCAAUACCAUACCAGUAAAAGCUUCACUAGUAUACCCUAAAAUCACAUCACCAUCAACAAUAGUUGAAAAUCUUUUUUCAACAUGUACGUUCUGACACCCGCAAGCCUUAUUAGAUGACCCACUCUCUUCAGUUGUAUCAACCAAGUCUGGUUCUGAAAUGUUCUCUUGAUGAGAAUGAAUGAUAAGCGACUCGUUUCUAGACUUAUCAGAAACAUGACCAUUAACAACUUCAGUUUCUAAGUGCUUCUGGACGUCGACUUUGUGUGCCAAGAAUUGGCCAUUCUCAUUCACGUGGCUUUCACCAACUACAAUCUCAUCAAUAGGAACCUUUUUCUUAUGGGUGAGCACAUCAUUUCUUUUAAUCAGACAAGUGCUAAGUUCUAUCUUCAGCAUAGCAUGACCAUCAUCAGCUUGAUCAUUUUUUCCCACAGAUUUGUUAACAUUUUUAUCCUCUUCUUCAGAAUUGAUCUCAUAUGCUUCAAGUUGGUGAGCACGUUCCCCACCUUUGUCUCUAAUAGUCGUAAGAGCAGAACUGGUCCUUCCUGCAUUACACAAGCCAGUCGACUUUGGCAUUUUAUCAAACAGGUGGAGAGCAUGAUAUUCUCUACUCUUCACACACAACUUUGGUUGUAAAUAGGUACCCUUAACAGAUGCCACAGUGGGUGAUGAUGUACCAACAGGUGUGUGCACUGCAGUGGUAGCUGUAACAAGCUCAGGUGUUGUCAUUGGCGGCAGAGAGCCCAACUUCAAUGGAUUAUCAACUUGGCUUGGCAGUGACAGUAGUGUCCCACUCCCCUUGAGCUUGACCAUAGUCUCUGGUUGUUCCACAUAUGAGCUAUGGAGUCUCAGACCGGUCUUCACAUCUUGUGUGAUUGCACCGAGCAGGCGCUGAAAUUUGGGCUUGCGCAUCAAGAGCUUAUUGCGCUUCUGGGAGUCACCGGUCUCGCGAGGCAGGAUAGUUCCUAGCCUAACUUGGCUGGGCUUCUUCACUCCUCCAGUGGUCGCAGUCGACUCGAGAGCGACUUGCUUGCAACGAGCCCUCCACAGAUGAGAGUGAACCACCAAAGGUUCAUGUGAACUGUUUAGGAAAAUUGGAGGAUGAAUCCGGAGGUUAGGAUGAGGUGUGUAGUAAGAAGGGAUUUGAGGAGUUGUGGUGAGUGGUUGUGGAGCAAUAGGAUGAGUGGGUGGUGAGUGAGGGGAAGGGUAGUAUUGUGCCUGAGUUUGAGAAGCACAAGGGAAUUGGAGAGGAAGCAAGUGCCCAUUAAUUAGGGUUGCAGAAUGGUUGUGCUGCGGUGGUGGGUAAGAUUGUGGUUGUGUGAAAUGCUGCAGUGGUGGUGCAUAAUAGUUGUGCUGCGGUGGUGAGUAAGGGUUAGGCGGUGGUGGUGGUGGGUGAUAGCUCAGCGGUGGCGGGUGAUAGUCCGACGAGAAAAAUGGUAGAUCCCACUGUUGCGGAGGCGACGAGAACUGCACUGAGUGGUAUGGGUACUGGUUUGAAUACCACGACGGCGGUUCAACACCGUAAGGCAGAGAUGCCGGUUGCCCAGCUCCCAGAUUCAUGGCUCUGGAUACCAAUUGUUAGGGUUUUAUCCCUAACUGAGAGAAAAGGAAAACAAAUUGAAAUAAAGAAGAAAGGAAAUAAACUUAGAUUUUCAUUGAUGGCCUCUCAAAGGCAAUGGUUACAGUACUUAAAGGAAAAUAGAGAGCAAAUACAGCUAGCAGUGGUCCAUAACAGAUGAGGGUGUCCUUAGUAAAGUUAAGGGUGUGUGCUAACUAAAUGACUCAUAACACUGAUGAUACUCAAAUGAAUCAAAUCGUCCAUCAUAACAUAUAACUUGGCCAUUAGUGUAGCUCUGAAUAUGUUUUUCAAUAAAACCACAAUUUGGUUUUAAAUACUUCGAAUAAAACCUCACGUUAGGUUUAUCAAUAAAGCCACGAAUUGGCUUGCAUGAACUAAGUCUCAAAGUAUAAUCAUAUUGGUCAUGAUUUUGACCACUCUUAUGAGAACGUACAGUAGUAUGAAGGAGAGAACUUAGUUGAAAUUGAUUAAUAAAGCCACAAAUUGGCUUAGUUAAAACAAAACUCAAUUGACAAUUACGGUUGCCAUAGUUUUGACUUCCCUCUUGGCAACGUCCAGUAGCUUCAAUUUGAUAAUUACAUCGACCCAAGCUUUGAUCAUUAACAGGAUAACCACAAAGUUGGUUAUUGAAUUGCUUAUGGCGGUCGAGAUCGAUAGAAAGGCCUUUGUGUAGCCCCCCAUGCGUCUGACCGGUAUCAACAUACACAUCGUCAUCCAUGAGCGGAACGACUUCCUUCUUGGAGCAACUUUGUUGGAUAUUAUCUUCAUAAUCGUGCUCGGUUUGGGGUUCGCCAUAAGUUGGCAAACAUGUUUCUUCCUCCUGGUCAGAACCAUCAACCUUUGAAAUAGGAUAUGUAUCAAUAAUCUCUCCGGUAUUAAGCUCAGGCUCUUGAGAAGUUUCGGCCAUUACUUCUGGCAAUUUAUAUUUGGCCGAUAUUUUGUAGGGGAUAGGGCUGUCAUUGUUAAUCAACUCCACAUGACUACAGUAGUAGUAAUCAAGCUGAUCAUCAUCUUCGUAAUCAUGCUCUGCAUAAGAUUCACCACUAUCUGGUAAACUAAUUCUCUAUGUUGACGCGGAUUCGUCUAGAGAGGAGUAUUCGCCACUAGAUUGCUCAAAAAAUGAUUCAACCUCCUGUUGGCUCAAAAAUCGUCCCGACCACAUUUCAAUGGGCUGGGGGCUUCUUUGGGCUACACGUGUCCUUCUGGCUUGGUGACGUGUGAGAUGGCGUGCCAACUCGCGGCCGAGAGGCCAAGCGAGGUUUUGUUCUGAUAUGUAGAUGCGUUGCCCUGACUUCUAAUAAGUCGACUGUAGACCGAGGAAGGAUCGAUCUCGGCCAUAGGGUUCUCUCUGCCUUGGAUGCAACGACUUUAACACAGAUCGGUUUACCAACCGAUAUCUUGGUACUGUGUGACUAGGUAAAUGUUGUGAUGGUGCAAGUGAUGUGAAUGCAGAAAUGUAAAGUGCAACAAAUAAAGUGUAAAAAUCUUAAAGAAAUGGUAAAGAACACGAAUGUAAAUUGCAGGAAAGAUAAAUUGCUCGAACAGUAAGAUAAAUUGCAAUUAUGUAAAGAACGAUAAAGUAAACUGCAAAAAAAAGAAGAACAAGAACCGGUAAAGUUAAGCGAUAAGAUAAACACGGAAGAAUUGAUAUGUGUAAUGCUGAGAAGCUGAAUUGUAUUGAGAUAAUAAUGUGUAAUCGCGUAGAGCGUUUGGUCGAGGACCCUUAACAAAAUAUCCUAAGGUCCUUUUUAUAGUGAAGUAAAAUAAAGAAGACGUAAUCCCAGCUUUGAACACAAGGAUGGAUUACAGUAAAUCAUGGAUUAAAUUGUAAUAAAGCUCAUUCAAUCUGAUUGUCACAAGUUUGGUAACUGUAGUGACGUCUCCCUAGAAAGCGCCAUCUUUGAGAUUGAAAUUGUAGUAACGUCAUUCUCGCAAUAAAACUCAUUCAACCUGAUUGCAACCAUUUUGGUAACUGUGAUGACGUCUCUCUUGAAGGCCCCAUCUUUGACCGUAAUUUAGCUUGUAAAUAUCAAUCAGUCGACCUCGUAUGGGUUUGACAGGAUAUAACAUUUAUUCUCCUUUCUUGGCCACUGCAACUCACGAAUAGCCGCAGCUAAAUAAGGUGUCUGCGGCUCAACAACCAUGUUCGCAGCUCAACAUAAGGUGACUGCGGCUCAACAUAAGGCGUCUGCGGCUCAACAUAAGAUGUCCGCGGCUCAACAUAGGGUGACCGCGGCUCAACAUAAGGCAUCUGCGACUCUACAUAAAAUAUCUGCGGCUCAACAUAGGGUGACCGUGGCUCAACAUAAAGCGUUUGCGGCUCAACAUAGGGUGUUUGUGGCUCAACAUAGGGUCAUCAUCUCUGUUGAUAACCACGGUUAUUUAAUAAGCUGCGUUGUGCAUUACGGGCUCAACAGGAUGAGUCACGAUAUUUACUUCUUAAUGGCCGCGGUCACUAAUAGACCCGUCCAUUUAGUCUGCCACGUAGGUCGUGCCAAAUAUUGGUUCAAACAGAGCCCCCCCCAGUUCCUUAUGCUUCGGCAAAGACGUCGAAUGGUUAAGGAAUUAGAAGAAUGUCUAUAGAAAAAUUAUUUGGCACAUAACACACCCCUUAUUUUUGCCGAGUUGAGUAGAACUCAUGAGUCAUAGUACUCAACACAAAUAUUGGUGGCCACACGGUUAUUAAAUCGUGGCUGCAAAUGAAUCGUUAAAGCAAGACUUCCAUUUAACCAUCCCUGAUAACAUCAUGGCUGCCAUUUGAGUGGUGAAGGUCUUGCUCUCACGUGAGGGGCAUCACCACCAUAGUCCUACAUUAGCUUGGAAUCAAACUGAAUUUAAAUAUUUAGAACAUAGACUCCUUUUCCUUUCUUGGCCAUUGUAACCCGUGAAUAGCCGCAGCUCAAUAAUAGCCGCGAUCAAUCUUCAUAGCCGCGGUCAUCUGUUACCGUAACUCUUAAAUAGCCGCGCCUCAAUAAUAGUCAUGAUCAAUCAUCAGUAAAACCGCGUUGUUACGCUGCGGCUCAAGAGGAUGAGUCACGAUGCUCAUUUUUUCAUGGUCGCGGUCAUUGGUGGACCGCGGACAUCACCGUCACUUAGUCUGCGAUGUGGGUGUUGCCAAAUAUUGGUUCAAACAGAGCCCCCCAAUCCCUUAUGCUUCGGCAAAGACACCGAAUGGUUAAGGAACUGGAAGAUUGUCUAUAAAAAAAAAAUUGUUUGGCAACACGCGCCCUUUAAUGCGCUUUGACACGGUAGUCAUUUAUUAAUAACCGCGGUAUUCGUAUAGCCGCGGUCACUUGCCUUGCCGUGCCUGUUCUGUUGCGGCUCAAAGUAAUAGCUGCCAUCCGCUAGUUGCGGCCAACCAAAGUAGCAUGGCAACAAAACUCUUUGAUCAUAGUCCUUCACUAGCGGCGAUCAUUCAAUAGGCGCGGCCAAUUACACUCUUAAUGGCCGCGAUGUCGGCCUUUACUCGAUGUUUGUGAUGACAUAGAAACAAAGAAACCUAAAACAAAACAAGAGAAACUAGAGAAAUUUAUUGGUUGUCUUUGGCAAUCACAACUUCAAGGAGGUGGCCAACGAUGUUUCACCCCAAGUUUUGAAUAUUUUGUAUUCUCCGCAUGAAUUUUGAAUUUUUCUAGGCCAAUCGUUAUCGACCCAAGAAGGUGAUUGUGACUCGAUCUCUUUGCGGCUUUCAUGUGAGCCGAAUUAUCAUGACCUCCAUAUGUACUCUUUUGAACAACUAUGGCCAGUACUUGCAUUUUAGCUGAUACCGGCUUUUUCAGGUCAACUUUCUCUCCAACAAUCAUGUCAACAUGCGUGAUCUUGUCAUAAGCACACUUCACCAUGUGAUGAUCAUUCUCAUGAACAUUUUGUAAAUUUUGUCCUUUAUGUAUUCCUCCACUGCUGGAGAAAGAACACUAAGUGGCCAAUUUCUUGCUUGAUUGUCAACGACUACGUCCUUUUGGAGAUGAUUGCUAGGAUUCAGAUAGUGUUGCACAUCAAGAAUUUGAUCUGUUUCAAAAAGGUGAUCAAGAUAAUUUUGAUGCCUUUGCCAAUCUUCCAUCAUCUUCUGACGUGACUGUAUUCGCGCUUUAAGAGUUUGGAAUUGCGAGGCUACCCUUGCUAGCUCUUCUCGAACCGCUCUGCUUAUAUCCUUGCAUUCUUCAUAAAACAUUGUUGAGCCAAUCCCAAUGUUUCCUUGUCUUUCAGACAAUAGAUUAUGAUAAUUAAUCUUGUUGAUCACCUGACGAUUUUGGCGGUCCUUGCAGAAAAUUCCAAGCAUUUUGGUCACUCAAAUCAUCAUGACAAUGUUGUUGGUCAUCUAAUGAUUUUGGCGGUCCUUGCAUGAAAUUCCAUGCACUUUGGGCAUUCAAGUCACCAUGGCAAUGUUGUUGGUCAUCUAACGAUUGUGGGGGUCCUUGCAGAAAAUUCCAUGCAUUUUGGCUGCUCAAGUCACCAUGACUAUUGCACGAUUCAUUAACCGUUUGGCGGUAAUGAUUAUACAACUUGUUAGCUUCUUGCCCAUAACAAUAUUGGCCAACAGAAUAAUUUUGGUAGCCGUAUUGGCUGCCAUAACUAUUUUGGAGAUCAUAGCCAUUUUGUUGGUCCCAUGAAGCAUGCAUGACUAUUCAAAUCUACAAAACUUUCAUACAUGGAAUAGCUAUAUCGGCCACCAUAACCAUACAAUUGAUCUUGGCCAUAUUGGCCAUUGUAAUAAUUAAUUGAAACAGAGUCGUGUAUGUUUGGCGUAUAAUAACUCAUUAGUGAAAAUACAACACACGAAAUAUCUCAUAAUAUAUUCUGAUAACAUUCAUCAAGUGUGGUCCCACUGGGCGUGCCAAAAGAUGUUGGCUCAAAAAUCGUCCCAGCCACGUGUCAAUGGGCCAAGGGCCUCUUUGGGCUACACGUGUCCUUCUGGCUUGGUGACGUGUGCGAUGGCGUGCUAACUCACGGCCGAGAGGCCAACCGAGGUUUUGUUCUGAUAUGUAGAUGCGCUGCCCUGACUUCUAAUCAGUCAACAGUAGACCGAGGAAGGAUCGAUCUCGGCCGCAGGGUUCUCUCUGCCAUGGAUGCAAGGACUUUAACACGGAUCAGCUUACCAACCGAUCUUGGUGCUAUGUGACUAGGUGAAUGUUGUGAUGGUGCAAGUGAUGUGAAUGCAGGAAUGUAAAGUGCAACAAAUAAAGUGUAAAAAUCUUAAAGAAAAGGUAAAGAACACGAAUGUAAAUUACAAGAAAGAUAAAUUGCUCGAACAGUAAGAUAAAUUGCAAGUAUGUAAAGAACGAUAAAGUAAACUGCAGAAAAAGAAGAACAAGUACUGGUAAAGUUAAGCGAUAAGAUAAACACGGAAGAAUUGAUAUGUGUAAUGCUGAGAAGCUGAAUUGUAUUGAGAUAAAAAUGUGUAAUCGCGUAGAGCGUUUGGUCGAGGACCCUUAACAAAGAAUCCUAAGGUCCUUUUUAUAGUGAAGUAAAAUAAAGAAGAUGUAAUCCCAGCUUUGAACACAUGGAUGGAUUACAGGUAAAUCAUGGAUUAAAUUGUAAUAAAGCUCAUUCAAUCUGAUUGCCACAAGUUUGGUAACUGUAGUGAUGUCUCCCUUGAAAGCGCCAUCUUUGAGAUUGAAAUUGUAGUGACAUCAUUCUCGCAAUAAAACUCAUUCAACCUGAUUGCAACCAUUUUGGUAACUGUGAUGACGUCUCCCUUGAAGGCCCCAUCUUUGACCGUAAUUUAGCUUGUAAAUAUCACUCAGUCGACCUCGUAUGGGUUUGAUAGGAUAUAACAUUUAUUCUCCUUGCUUGGCCGCUGCAACUCACGAAUAGCCGCAGCUAAAUAAGGUGUCUGCGGCUCAACAACCAUGUUCGCAGCUCAACAUAAGGUGACCGCGGCUCAACAUAAGGUGACCGCGGCUCAACAUAAGGCGUCUGCGGCUCAACAUAAGAUGUCUGCGGCUCAACAUAGGGUGACCGCGGCUCAACAUAAGGCGUCCGUUGCUCAACAUAAAAUGUCUACGGCUCAACAUAGGGUGACCGCGGCUCAACAUAAGGCUUCCGCGACUCAACAUAGGGUGUCUGUGGCUCAACAUAAGGUCAUCAUCUCUGUUAAUAACCGCGGUCAUUUAAUAAGUUGCGUUGUGCAUUGCGGCUCAACAAGAUGAGUCGUGAUAUUUACUUCUUAAUGGCUGCGGUCACUAAUGGACCCAUCCAUUUGGUUUGCCACGUAGGUCGUGCCAAAUAUUGGUUCAAACACCUCCAUGGCGAAGAGGUGUAAUGUCCGUCUAAUGUCGGACUCAGAACCUGCUCCAUCGAGUGACUCUCUUAGAGCGUGCUGAAAUUUUUUCAGACAAUCUUGAUUUAUAUGUUUAGGCACCAUUUCAGUUAGUAAACCAAAACGCUAAUGAUCCUCUUUUAACACGUCAUCAAGUGCUACGUUUGCGAGCCAUUUGGAAACGGACUCUAUGCCUUCUAUGGCAGUCAUAUCUAGAAGUGCCAUCCGUAAAGACAUCUUUCAUUGACUGAAAGAGAUUGUUGUCGGUAUUAAGGAAAUACCUUCUCCGCCCAUAGACCAGUCAGGAAACUUGUAGAUACGAUGUAUAUCUUAUCUUGCCAAGCAUAAGCAACAACCACGUAGACCGUGCUCCAGCCAUGGCGGGCUCCGCCUCCGACAUACUUCCGGUAGACCGACAUCCGGGCUACCCUGCCAUGGUGAAGGAUUAUCAAUGCCACAACGGGAAGGUGCUCCUCCAAGCUCCACAAAAAGGCACCAUGAGAAUAUAUAUAUAUAUAUAUGUGUAAUUAGUCCCACAUCGAAAGUAUAAUAUGUGAGGGAACCUUCCUUAGCUAUAAAAGGAAGGCUUCUCAUUUGUAGAAAGGAUCUCUGAUCUAUGUCUCGAUUGAUCCAACUCCUUCCCGACUCAACUCCACACUUGUAACAACUAAGGCAUUGAUGCCUCAUGAUAGUAGAUUCAAGUGGACGUAGCCAUGCCCUCCGAUGGCAUGGUGAACCACUAUAAAUGUUGUGUCUUUGUGUGUAUGUUUAUGUUCUACCGUGCUUCUACAUAACCUACGGGUUCUUGCAGAAACAAUUGGCGCCGUCUGUGGGAAGCAUUACGAAAAGACAUGUUACUCUGCCUCCAAGAGGCAGUUCACUCAUGUCCAUGAGAGCUAUAGGGUCGUCGGGUCGACCCCAAGCCCAGGGCUUAGUAGGUAGCCCAGCCAUCGGGUCAGCAGGCCGCUCAGUAGGCUCAAGCUUUCAACGGGCCAGCAAGCCGUCCAGCCUGGUCCAACUAUCAUCAGGCCCAAGCCAUCAGGUGGCAUGGCAUGACCCGCCCAUGAGCUCUUCACUGCCUCGGCAAAAUCGGAGAUGAUUCACCGGGACCCGAUGAGUUCAUGCAUUCACAAUAGUUAGCCAUGUCGACCGGUGCUUCACCGGGAACGAUCCACUCCUCCCGCUGGCCCAUUCUUCCUCUUACUCCGAGGACCUUCAGCGACAACGUUAAUCGUUUCUCCGGCCGGGAGGAAUUCGUCAUGAGUGCAUAUGGAAGACUGGAAGAGGGGAUACGUCCAGCGUUAUCAGGGUCUCGUUGGCAGCUUUAUUACAAACUCAUUGCCUUGAGAUUCAGGUACCGAUCAGUCAACUCGGAGACUCCACCAACCAUAACACCCAGUCCAGACCCUUGUCUCCUCGACCGAGAAAGUAACUCACCGGGAACCCAUUGGCAUCAUUCACAAGUAUGUGUUUCUAGCCGUUGAGUUUAUACAAUUACCGGCAUGAACGUUCCCAUCACAACUACUCUGGGCACCCAGCCGCCCAAGUCUUAAAAAUGAGUCUUUCUCUAUCAGAGAAUCCCGCCGGCUGAUGGGCUACUCUAUCUCACCAGUCAAUAGCGCCAUGAUUGCCAUCGGGAUCGCUCCAUGCAGAAUCGCCAGAACCGCUCGCAUCUAUCCGGGUGAUCAGAAUUUUUCAAUCUUACUGGUCGUCCUAGCUUCCGAUAGCAUCACGAACAUCACCGGUAGUCAAUAAUUCUUGCUUGGGCAUGUCGGCGGUCUCUCGAUUACGACGGCUAAACCCUUCGUUGGCAUUAUCUCGAUCGAGAUUUCCAGGUUCACGCAUCUAGCGUCGCCGAAUCCGACCUAAUCAGGGAUUAGCUUCCUUCCUGGAAUAGCUCCCUUCCGGGAAUAGCUCAUCGACGAUGCCUCGUGCGGGAACACACCCAUGUUUCAACUCCCAGGCAGUUUGCCAACGGGACAACAGUUAAGAAAAAUGGAGAAAGAAUUGAGGAACUGCUGCAAACAGUAUGUCAGCUGCUCUAGACACUACCGCGAAGCAAACAGGACAGAUGUCUGGCAAUCAUCAUCUUUGCUCAUCCAACUGGUCGUACACACCACCGGUGCCAAGCUAAGUUCAUUUUUUUUCUCAUAAGCAAACAUGGCUCAUGUUUUGAAGUUUGAAAGUUAAACAUAUCAAUUGUUAGACAUAAAUGCUAGCUUUAAAUCAUGCGUAAAUCAUGCGUGUCACCUGCUUGAUUCCAUGCGUCCAGAGAGCAACUUGUUUGUUAGACACCUGUCAUUUGAUAUUUUGUGCACAAGUCUAUUGGCUAUUUGUUUACGUGUGUGUGCAUGCCCUUCUGCACCCAUCAACCAUGCACGUACGUUAGAGGUAUUGGUAAAAGUAUAGUUGCAUUGGGGUUUAUUAUAUCAACCAUAAUACAAGCCUAAUUGUCUCUAUACUUGGAUGGUUAGACCAGUCCUUACCCUUAUAAUGCUCGGCAACAGCUAUUGGGGUAUUGAGUAAACAUGUUGAGUUACUAGACAGGUAUACAAUUAUUGCAUUAUAUGAUUAGUAAUCUACUUGUUGUUUGACCUGGAGCAUUGCUCCAUGCUCACUUAUACGGGUCUUAAAAGGUGAGAACAUAGUUGUUGAUUACCCCUCAAGAUGCAUAAACAAUAUCUGAUAUAAUUACGUACAACAUUUGCAUAUAAAUAUGUCUUUAAGGUGUCAGGCCAUCAAUGCUACUCAACAACGGCAUCCCGGAGGUAGAGUUGAGUGGAACUCAACAACGGUACCGAAGUUACUCGACUAUGGUUCACCGGGGAUAGUCUAUCCAACCAUGCCCCCGGCCGGUACCCUGGCAACUUGGUCUAGAUGUGGUAUCACUCAACUCGUGCAGUACACCCAGCCAUGGAAACCCGCAACAAACGCAACUUUGUAGUCCUAGUCUAAGUUGGUCAUCGAAAUUACAGAAAUUUCACUUAUCUAUAUAUAGGUCUUAGAAGGGGGGUGCAUAGGCCUUUUUUGAAUUUUCGUUUACUUCUGUAUCCGAGGAUAGCAAUCACUUGUGCUAUCCCCGAUUCACAGGAUACGAGUUUGCAGAAAGUAAAGCAGCAAAUAAAGAAACAACACAAGGAUGUUUUUUACUCGCAGAAACCUUAAAUGCAGGGAGAAAAACUGCGUGUCUUUAACUCUUGAGAGACAAAACUUUCCACUAAGUUGAAGUAACUUCUUACAAGAAUAAUAGUUCUAGUGAUACACUACCACAGUGCUAUCCUUCUAGUCCCAAACUAGUCUAGACCUAUUCCCUCUCUUGUUUCUAAGCUCUUACAACAUGGAACACUUUCAGAAGCUUUGUUCGUGAAUUCAGCUAACCACUAGCUGAUUCAACCUUGAACACUUCUUGGGUUGGUUGCACUACACAUCCCUCAUGGUAUGCAACAUGAUAUGAGUUGAUGAAAGAAGUUUUGAGUUCAAGCUCUAAGGUUUACAGUCACGAAGAAGACUUAGAGCAGCAUGAACAAUGCAAGCUAAAAACUAGACUCAACAAAGAAAACGCAAUAAGGCAGUUUUCAACAACCAUUGAGCAAAGCCAAAGCUAUAGAUAUAUAUAGGCAGACAAGGCAUCAAAGAUGAUGCAAGCUGAUCUCAACAAGUUUCAGAAAGGUUUGGACAGAAGUGUUUGGCUCCNNNNNNNNNNNNNNNNNNNNGUCCAAACAAAGAGAUGACACAAGCAAUCUCAAUAAGACAAGAAAACCUUUCCUAAAACAUGAACGAUUCAAAGGAAGGAGCAAAGAGGCUUCAAACCCUCUUACUCAGUCCAUCAGUGGACCUUGACACAGCCGAUAGCGACUGGUCUUUGAACCAUACAGGGACCAGCUCUGCAUAGGAUAACGUAUCAUGAAAUCCUAGCUGGACCCUUGAGCAUCAAACCAUUUGGUCACGGGUUGGCAUAAACAAAACAUCUCAACCCUUAGACUGGUUUGAGUGCCAAUACACUUCCCAGAAACUCAGUUGUCCAUUUGAAUUUGAAAGCCUUAUUAAACUAAUAUAACAGACUCUGAAACUCAGGACAGCAAGAGACUCAGUACUUCGCUUGCUAUCCUCUGUGAAAAACAAUGAUAUGCAGAUGCAUGUUUUACCUGAAAUCAUAAGGGAUGGUAGUGACACUUGUUCUUGAUCAGAUAACAGUGUCUUCAAAGUGUUUUGCAGGAUAAAAGGAUUGCCAACUAUCCUUCUACCUUCAAUCUCCUCCUUUGGCAUUCCUUCACAAAACACUUCAUUUGUAGGAACACAACCUGCAGAAAACAACUUCAAGAACAAGUGAAGAAUCACAGAACUUAUAACUGAGCACACUAACAUAACAGAAAUGAAACACUGAAAAAUGAUAGUGCAUUAAACAAUAAUAAAACAUUGUAUUAAACACCCAUAGAACCAACAAUGUCUUACAAACAUAAACAGCAAGUCCUACAACUAAUUCUCCCCCUUUUUGGCAAGGAAUACCAAAGGGAAACAGAGAAUAAAAUAUCCGAGUGGUUUUAAAAGAAAUAAGGACCUGCAAUAAAAAGAACACAAAGAGUACACAUCAACUCCUACAAUGUAAGCCAACAAAGCAACAAGAUCACACAGCUUCCUCUGACUCCGCAGUAGAAGCAUCAGAGGACUCCUCAGACCCAAAGCUGGAAGAAGGGGUAGAUGAGGUGCUAUCCCCACCAGAGGGGUUAGCAAGAGGCGCAUGUGGCCCCACAGAUUCUUUCAGUUCAUUUCGCAGGGCCUCAAACUGAGCAGUAAAGGUAGCCUGAAGAGAAGCAACAUCAUUGGAAACUUGACGCUUGAUCUCUUGCUUCAGCAGGGUCUGCUCCAAAGACUCCACAUACACAUCAGACUGACUCAUUGAUUUUGCCAAGGAUAACUUGUCGACCGGAGCAGCCUCAUUUUCAUUAGCCAUGAUAUCAGAGUCAAGGACAUGGACACCAGCAUCCAAACAUAAUUUAGUGAUGACAGCAGGAAAGACAAGAGAGCUAUUCUCACGAAGAGAUGUGCCCACACCACGAAUGGCCUUGUAAAUGAAACACUCAGCUGGAAAACGAGGCUUGGAAGGGCUAGAAAUUAGAUAUUUGAUCAGAGCAGCCUGUUGGUGAGUGAUUUUGCUGGUGUUGGAAGUGGGAGUCAAGAGUGAUCUAACCACAAACCCUAAAAGCUUGCACAGCUCAGACAUAAAUUGAUUGGAAAGAUGAGAGGCAGUGAUCUCUGGCUAAGGAAAAGUGGACUGAUAAAGGGUUGCUCCUAGCUCAAGAAGAGAGACAGAUUUGAUGUAAUCAAAAACUAGUUGGACUGAGUUGGGUUCUGUGACAGGGAGAGACAUGCUAGAUCGUAUCCUAGGAGGAGAAAUGUCAACAUCCUUACCCCUAACCUUGACAACAAUGGGGCGCUGGGUAUGAACCUUCACCUUUUCUGGUGCAUUUUGGGGAAAAUUGGCAUAAAAUUCUUGAACCCAAGUCCUAUUGACCCUAUGGAAGGAUGAUAGAACUUGAUCCCAUCCCUAAUAAACAGCUAAUUUCUUAACCUCAGGAUGCAAAGUGUCAAAAGCAAUGGGUCUCUCAAACACUAUCCUCUUAUUGACAAUGGAAGUACAGAAAUAGUCUCUACCAGCCUCAGAUUGAAAGUCAGAAAGAGGAGGAACUGAAGAGUGAGAUACCUUAGCAGAUCGUUUCUUAUGAGGCAUGGUGGACUGAGGAGCCUUGCUUCCAUCCAUGGGAGCCUUGCCCUUGUCAACUGAAUUUUGAGGACCAGCACGCGAGGGCUUAGAGCUAGCGGAGGGCUUGGCAGGAGCCUUAGGAGGCGACAAACCCUUAGCCACCGAAGACCCAGAAGCAGAGACCGCAAGAGGGGCCUCAGCAAGAGCCGGAACGCCAGUAGGCUUAGUGGGAACCUGAGGAGUCGAGGUGGAUCUGGUAACCCUACGUUUAGUGGUGCAACGCUUGGAUUUGGGCUCUGGGACAAAGACAGGCACCUCUGUCCAUGCAACCUCAGUGGAGUGAGGAGAAGACCGAGUCGGAGACGACGGAGGAGAGGGAACCACAGAUGGUCCACCAGAUGAGGCUGGCUUGGCAACCUUGGCCGGAUUUUCGCCGGAAGGAGAAUGAGACCGCUUACCAGAAGCCGCAGAAGGAACUAGGUCUCUCAAAGCUUCAAGCUUUUCUGCUAUGGAGAGACCUCCAAGGGUAGCAGAAAGCCUAAGAGAUUGACCUCCAGGGAAAGGCACUUCAGCCUGAAUAGGAAGCAAAUUUAGGGGUUCAUGCAUGGUGGGUUCAUCCCCUAGAUUGACGAAAUUUGGUCCAACAGGUGUGUUCGACAUUUUUUGGCUGAGAAGGCUUUGGAUUGGAGAAAGAAGAAGAUGAAAGGAGAGGGAGUGGGUUUCAAAAAGAAGAGAGAAGAGAGAAAGACUGGUUAAGGAGAAGGCGGAAGCGUGGGACACGAUCAGAGUGUCUCGAAAACUGUCAAGCCCACUAAUCCCAACUACCCAAAACGGCUAUAAUAAUUAAAUAACCUAAUCCCAUGCAAUGAUGAUGUUUUUGGACGUGACCAAACAACACCGCCCAGACCAACCAAUGAGAACCAUGAAAAAUAGCCACGCAAGCACAAGCAAAUAAACAAGAACUUAUGGAAAAGUCCACUCAAUUCUAUACUCCCCCUAAGAGUAUGUAUAAGAGAAAGCGAAAAAUUGUUUGUAUCUGAUAAACACUCUUAUAGAAAAGGACUGCACACACAAGCUUAAGGAAAAUGACCAUUCAAUGUGCAUCCUUGAUUUUUGAAGUCAGUUUAAGCAUAAACUCAGAAGGUGACACAUUAUAACACACAAACAGACCUUGAUCAAACAAAAGCAAAUCACAUAGGUUUGUGAUAGUGACAAGUCCCAAUGGUCUCUAUUUCAUUUGCAACACUUCAGAGUGAAAAUGUAAGUGAGAUAAUGACACAUGGUGCUUGUUACUUGAGGGCAUUAACUGAGCAUUCGUUGUUAAAUGGAGCCAUGAAAUACUGGGAUAUCAACUGGUCCUGCCAUCCUUAUCUCUCCAGAAUUUGAUUUUAAAGUCCAGAGGCUACUUUUAUCCAUGAAUUUAUUUGUUCCAACAUUAAUAUCACAGCCUCAACUGAGAAAUCAACCUCAUAGGUUCAAGUAGCAGAGAAUGUGUCAUUGCUUCACAAGAUCAGUUGACCUUGGACAAUUGUGUAACAAGGACACUCAUAUGGACCCAUCAUUCGAACCCAUCGAAGGAUAGAAUACAUCUCAGAAAUCCCCACUGUAUAUCCAAAAGAGUGGAGGAUUAGCUAGUUUCAAGAAGUCAUUUGUGAUUGUCAUUUUGUUUUUUUUUUAACAUGUUCCAACUAGACUUCCUAAUUCUAAACCAAUCUCGUUUCUUCCCACCCUUAUAUCGUUCAUCACGACCAAGGAAUGUGUACUUUGAGAUUAGCCUAGAUCAUUGAGUUCUUUGAACCUCAAUCUUCAAACUAACCUCGUUUCUGCUCACCUUUGAAUUGUUCACCACAGCCAAGAAAUGUUUACUUUGAGAUUAGUUUGGAAAGCAAACUCCCCCUUAGCAUAAACUCUCAUCUCAAGUAUACACCCCAAGCUUUAGUGCAACCAAAGUGAUCAUUAAGAGUGGACAUAAGGAUACUGUAGAUUUGCAAUAAAAGUCAGACCACAUACAACAUCAUCCAAACAUGUGCACACACCUAUGUGAAGAGUAAGACUAAACCAAGGAAAGGAAAGACAGAUAGUCACCUAGGUCAAGUUCAGAAACUGACUAAGGGUACCAAGAAGGUCCUCUAACCUGAACCUGUAAAGAGGAGAUGGAAACCAAAAAAACAUUUUUUUUAAUUUUUUUCAGAACAUAUGUACACCAACAGAACACACAUACACUAGCAGGGGAAGUAUUUACUUGUUGUCACACAACCCUAUAGCCUUGCACAGACUCAAAUGCCUAGCAUUGUCAAGUGGUUUAGUGAACAAAUCAGCCAAUUGUUUUUCAGUUGGAAUGAAAGUAAGCUCUAGCAAUUUCUCUUCAACCAAGCCACGAAUGAAAUGAUAUCUGAUUUCUAUAUGCUUGGUCCUAGAAUGCAGCACUGGAUUCUUUGAGAUGUUUAUGGCAGAGGUAUUAUCACAAAAGAGAGAUAACGUACCUUGCUGGAAGCCGUAGUCUGCAAGCAUCUGCUUCAUCCACAUGAAUUGUGUGCAACAACUCCCAGCUGCUACAUACUCAGCUUGAGCAGUAAAGAGAGAGGUGCAAUUUUGCUUCUUGUUGUGCCAUGAAACAAGAUUGUUGCCUACAAAAAAGAAACCACCCGAAGUGCUUUUUCUAUCAUUUGCAUCUCCAGCCCAAUCCGAGUCAGUGUAUCCUGCAAUCUCAACAUUUGUGUCAAAAGUGUGCUUAAUUCCAUGAUCAAGAGUCCCAGCAACAUAUCGAAUUAUGCGCUUUACUGCUUUGACAUGAGAUUGUUUGGGAUUAGCUUGAUACCGAGCACACACACUGACACUAUAAGCAAUAUAUGGUCUACUAGCAGUCAAAUACAUGAGACUACCAAUCAUACUCCUAUAAUUGGUUUGGUCCACAUUAAUACCAGACAGGUCAGCACUGAUCUUGCAACUGGUGCUCAUGGGAGUGGGGAAGGCAGAGGCCGUUUCCAACCCAAACUUCUUAACAAGGUCAUGUGCAUACUUAGAUUGACAGAUAAACAGACCAUUUCGGUUUUGCACAACCUAAAGACCUAAGAAGUAGCUUAACUUACCACAUAGACUCAUUUCAAAUUCUUUCUUCAUGAGCUCAGUAAACUCAUGCACCAAAGAUGAAGAAGUAGACCCAAACACUAUGUCAUCAACAUAUAUCUGAGCAAUGAUAAUGUGCUUUGAGGUACAUUUGACAAACAUUGUUUUGUCAACUGAGCCUCGCACAUACCCAUGGUCAACAAGUUGAUUUGACAAUCUCUCAUACCAAGCCCUAGGGGCUUGCUUAAGACCAUAGAGGGCCUUAUCUAACCUAUAGACAUGGUCAGGAUGGGUAAGACUCUGGAAUCCUAGGGGCUGUUCCACAUACACUUCCUCUUUGAGGAUACCAUUCAGAAAAACACUUUUUACAUCCAUUUGAUACAAGGUAAAUUUCAAAUAGCAAGCACAGCAAGUAGAAGACGAACUGACUCAAGUCUAGCUACAGGAGAAAAAGUCUCACCAAAAUCUAGGCCUUCUAUUUGAGAAUACCCUUGCACAACAAGUCUUGCCUUGUUUCGGGUGAUAAUACAUUUUUCAUCAGUUUUGUUUUUGAACACCCAUUUGGUUCCUAUGACAUUUUUGUCCUUAGGCCUAGACACUAAAUGCCAAACAUUGCUUCUUUCAAACUGAUUCAACUCGUCUUGCAUGGCACUGAUCCAAUCAGCAUCAAGCAAGGCUUCCUUCACAUUCUUUGGCUCUAUUAUUGAAACAAAGCCAUAGUAUGUGAUAGUGUUGAUGUCAUCUCUAUGCAUAGCAACAAAACAUUUAAACACUGAGAAAUUGCUCACCAAUCAACCAGUCUUACUCCUGGUCUUUCUUGGUUCAGACACAUCCCCAAUUACAUGGGAUAGAUCAUGGUCCUUCUGUACUUGUCUUUUACCGCUUAUGUGAAUUGGCGGAAUGGCAAGUGUGGCAUCUUUCCCAGAUCCUGGAACAUCUGUGUCAUCAUCCAUCCCUGAGUCAUCAUCUCCUUAAUCAGACUUGGUUUCAGAUGAGGUAGGUUCGGCUUCCUGCUCAGACAAAACACACCCAUCAUUCUUGCAAACAAGAGCAUCAUUAACAGCCACAUUUACUGAUUCCAUAAUUUUGCAGGUUCUCUUGUUAUACACCCGAUAGGCUCGACUAUUUCCAGCAUAGCCAAGGAACACACCCUUGUCACUUUUAGCAUCAAACUUUGUCAAAUACUCUCUGUCCCUAUAGAUAAAGCAGGGACUUCCAAACACUUUGAGAUGAGCGAUAUUUGGUUUCCUACCUCUCCAGAUCUCAUAGGGAGUCAUGGUUGUUCCAGGUCUAAGAAUUACACGGUUUAAAGUGUAACAGGCAUUAUUUACUACUUCUUCCCAAAACGAAUGAUUAAGGCCAGAUGCAGCUAGCAUAACCUUGGAUAAUUCCACAAGAACCAUGUUCUUUCUUUCUACAAUGCCAUUAUGUUGUAGAGUAAUAGGGGCAGAGAAUUCAUGAUGCACACCAAACUCUUCACAAUAAUUUUCAAAAUAAGAGUUUUCGAAUUCAGUACCAUGAUCUGAUCUGAUCCUAACAAUAUGCAUGUCAUCAUUCAAUUUCUCAUUUGUGACUCUCUUAGCAACACUGUAAUAAUUUUCAAAAGUUUCACCUUUGUUAGACAAAAAUUUCACCCAAGUGAAUCUAGAGAAAUCAUCAACAAUUACAAGAGCAUACUUUCUUCCUCCAAUACUUUUAGUUUCAACUGGUCCUACUAAGUCUAGAUGCAGCAGUUCAAGAACAUGAGUAGUAGGAUCAGCAUUUAAUAGAGGAUGAGAGGUUCGAGUCAUCUUACCAACUCUACAUUCACCACACAUACCUUGGGGGAUACCUGCAAGCUUUGGUAUCCCUCUAACAGCUUCUUUUGAGGACAGCUUCACUAUAUCCUGAUGGUUCAAGUGACACAUUCGUAUGUGCCAAAGAUCUAAGGGUUCCUCACAGAUCAUAGAUCUAAAACAUAUUUGGGGUGAGAACUUCUCUUUUGCUACAACACAAUAGCAUUGAUCCCUAGUUCUCUUUCCUCUCAUUAUGCUCUUCCCAUUACCAUCUAAGACAACACAUCUCUGCUUGUCAAAGGUGACUGAGUCAUGUUCAUCAACAAUCUGACUUACACUUAGCAAACUCACUUCUAAACCCUUGACCAAAAGAACAUUUUUCAGACACGGGAGACUAGGGGCAUUUACUGUCCCGCUUCCCACUAUCGGAGCCCGAGCUCCAUCCCCAAAACCAACAUUCCCUUCUGGAUGAACGUCAUCCAUGGACAAAAACCACUUAGGAUCUCCGGUCAUGUGCCUUGAAGCACCACUGUCUAUAUACCAAGAAUCAGCACAACGCGCUGCAAGAGCUGUAAGAGCUACGCGACACACUGCUACUGUUCUAGACUCCUCAACAGACUCUAGGCUAGUCCAGACACGAGACAAGAAACACACAAUGUUUUCCUCCUCAGGGUCACUGUCACACUCAUCAACAGGCUUCGAAUCCGUGUGUGGAGGCUUGAGGGCAUAAGGUCUAGAAUCCUUCUUCUUAACCCAAGCUAGGUUUUUGUUUGGUUUUCUAGCUGCGGGAACAGACAGACCCUUAGCUAACCUGGCAAACUCCUGCAGAGAUUUCUCUAGAGUGGCUUGAAAAGAUGUGAAAAAAUUUGCAACUGACUUGUUGCCCUAAAAGCUGGAAAACUCUUGGUUUCUUCUAGGGUAUGCAUGACUGUUUUAGAGUUUCCUACAAAAAGGUCGAAUGUGACCAGGAACACCACAGUGAUGACAAGUAGGUUUGGACCUUUUUGGAGACUCGACCUUGUUGGUCACUACUUUAACAUCAAGAGCUUUGCUUUUGACAAACACAGUUCCACCGUUUUUAGAGUUCUCGCCAGUUUCAAACCCUAGACCAUGUUUGUUCUUAUCUAGUCUACCCAUUCCACAUAUCUUGGUCAAUUUUUCAGAUCCUAUUGAGAACCUAGAGAACUGUUGCUGAGAUUCUUUGAGAGAAACUUCAAGCGCUAGCUUCUCAGCCUUAAGACCACUAAGAGAUUUUUCUAGACUCAGCUUUUCGGCUCUCCAUACUUCUUGUUGGGAUAGCAAUUCAGCUUGUAUCCCUACUUUCUCUUUUUCACACUUCGCAAGAUCUUUGGUCAGAAUAUCUAUCUUAGACAACAUGGACUUUGAUGCGUUGACAAGUUCAGUGAACUUUUGCAUUCUAUCAUCAUCGUCUUCAUCCUCCGGAGUCUCGUUUUGAGACACCGUGGCAAUGAAGGCAACUAGUUCUUCAACAUGAUCUAAAGAGGAAACGGGGACAACCCGAGCUGUGAAAGCUACAGUAUCCUCCUCUUGAUCAGACAAGGGAUUCUCUUCACUAUCACUGUAAGUGACAGCAAGAGCCUUUUGAGGGCGAACCCUCCUAUUUGCACAGUCAACAGCUCUAUGUCCCACACCCUUACACUCAAAACACACAUCGCUUCUUUGAGAACUCUUACCCUUAGGAUUUCUAUCUUGACCUCUAUCCUGAGAGGGCUCAGCACGAGAAUUCCUAGGAUAUCUGUCAUGUCUCUAACACUUGAGAGACAAAACUUUCCACUAAGUUGAAGUAACUUCUUACAAGAAUAAUAGUUCUAGUGAUACACUACCACAGUGCUAUCCUUCUAGUCCCGAACUAGUCUAGACCUAUUCCCUCUCUUGUUUCUAAGCUCUUACAACAUGGAACACUUUCAGAAGCUUUGUUCGUGAAUUCAGCUAACCACUGGCUGAUUCAACCUUGAACACUUCUUGGGUUGGUUGCACUACACAUCCCUCAUGGUAUGCAACAUGAUAUGAGUUGAUGAAAGAAGUUUUGAGUUCAAGCUCUAAG